CUACGGACUCGAUUGUAUUGAGCCUUGGCAUGGAAACCUACUAAGUGGUAACUUCCAAAUUCAGAGAAUCCCUAGAUUUAAAAAAGGGCAAUCCUGAGCCAAAUCCGUGUUUUGAGAAAACAAGGGGUUCUCGAACUAGAAUACAAAGGAAAAGGAUAGGUGCAGAGACUCAGAGUAGCUGUUCUAACGAAUCAAGUUAAUUACAUUGUGUUGUUAGUGGAAUUCCUUCUAAUUCUAAAUUAGAGAAAGAUGGG
rnacentral:ncRNA from 1 species